rnacentral:rRNA from 1 species
CCUACGGGAGGCAGCAGUGAGGAAUAUUGGUCAAUGGACGAGAGUCUGAACCAGCCAAGUAGCGUGAAGGAUGACUGCCCUAUGGGUUGUAAACUUCUUUUAUAUGGGAAUAAAAUGUUCCACGUGUGGGAUUUUGUAUGUACCAUAUGAAUAAGGAUCGGCUAACUCAGUGCCAGCAGCCGCGGUAAUACGGAGGAUCCGAGCGUUAUCCGGAUUUAUUGGGUUUAAAGGGAGCGUAGGUGGAUUGUUAAGUCAGUUGUGAAAGUUUGUGGCUCAACCGUAAAAUUGCAGUUGAAACUGGCAGUCUUGAGUACAGUAGAGGUGGGCGGAAUUCGUGGUGUAGCGGUGAAAUGCUUAGAUAUCACGAAGAACUCCGAUUGCGAAGGCAGUUCACUGGACUGCAACUGACACUGAGGCUCGAAAGUGUGGGUAUCAAACAGGAUUAGAUACCCGAGUAGUC